rnacentral:rRNA from 1 species
ACCCGUCGACUCGCACGCAUGUCAGACUCCUUGGUCCGUGUUUCAAGACGGGUCGGAUGGGGAGCCCGCAGGCCGUUGCAGCGCAGCGUCCCGAGGGACGCGCCUCGCGGCGCGCGGAGACCGGCCGCGCCGACGACGGCUGCCGGAGGCACCUGAGGCCCCCGGGCUUAGGCCGCCGGCGCAGCCGACAACAGUCCACGCCCCAAGCCGAACGGCGGACCAGCAGAAGCCGUUCCGCAUACGACUGGGACGCAUCGC